UUUAUUCUCAGUGACCCCAAGGACUUUGCCUCCCAAAUCUACGACACAGUGAAGACUAGCUUAAACAUCAGCCCCGACGCAACCGUGGACGAGGAAGAGGAAGCAGAAGUAGAAGCCGAGACUGAAUCAAAGGGAACAGAAGCAGAGGAGAAUAUCAAAUCGGAAACUGCAGAUGAGGAGGCAAAGGAUGAGCUGUAGAUUUAAAAUUAUUUAACUGUGGAACGGAGGUGGUUUAUAAUUUUGAAUAUCAUCACCCAUCAUAGAGCUCUGCUAACUCCU
rnacentral:lncRNA from 1 species